rnacentral:rRNA from 1 species
UAUGUGAUCGUCUCUCGCAUAUCAAUAAGCGGAGGAAAAGAGACUAACAAGGAUUCCCCUAGUAACGGCGAGUGAAGCGGGAAGAGCUCAAAUUUGAAAUCUUAAAGGGUUUCCCUUUACGAAUUGUAGUUUAAAGAAGUGUUUUCUGUUGAGGUUUUGGUAAAAGUUCUUUGGAAUAGGACAUCAUAGAGGGUGAGAAUCCCGUAUUUGACCUUUACUUUCAACUUUGUGAUACACUUUCAAAGAGUCGGAUUGUUUGGGAAUGCAGUCCAAAAUGGGUGGUAAAUUUCAUCUAAAGCUAAAUAUUGGCGAGAGACCGAUAGCGAACAAGUACCGUGAGGGAAAGAUGAAAAGAACUUUGAAAAGAGAGUUAAACAGUACGUGAAAUUGUCAAAAGGGAAGCGUUUGACACCAGUGUUGUUUUUCUGAAAAUCAAUUAAAGAACUGUUUAUGCUAAGUUGUUUAGACUUUAUCAGCUAACUGUUUAGUUUUGAGCUUUUCUUUAAUGCACUUUUCAGUUAACAAGUCAACAUCAAUUUCUUUUGCUGUAAAAAAGCUUGAGGAAGGUGGCUUGAGAUUCGUCUUAAGUGUUUAUAGCCUCUUGCCUAUGCAGUCGGAGAGAUUGAGGUCUGCAGCGUAGAUCCUUCGGGGCUAAAUGCAUUUGUGCUAAGUUAUAGCAUUUUAUAGACAACUUGUUGACUAUGAUUUGUCUUGUAGCUUACUCGCUUAUGUUAUUUUACCUACGCUUAGGAUGUUGACACACGCGCGUGCUCG